rnacentral:lncRNA from 1 species
UCCAUAACACACACACCCGAAGCCCUAUACUUGAUAUCAACUUAAACACAGUAUUCUUAAACAAAAUUAAAGAUCCCAAAUUCACAUUAGGUGAGCGAAUAGCAAAGUCUCUCUCUUAAAACCUUAGGCGUCCUUCAUCAAGACUAUAGGACAUGUCGUGUCGGACGGGCUGGAAUGGACCGGGUGUUCGAUGCUAGAUGGAUGUCCAGUCGGUGUGACGACGACAUCCUGACUUUGCUGUCCGGGUCUCGCGAAAGUCUUGCCUGUGGUGGGUUCGUCGGUUGGCAAGCGGGGCUGGUGUCGAUCUCUCUAAGGGCAGAGUGACGACGGUGGAAGGUGUGGUCGCUUGGAGGUGACAAGACGGUGGGGAUGAUGACAGGAUCUGAAUGGAGAAGACCGGAUCAGACUCCGAUCCGAUUUAGUUUGUUUGGAGUCAUUCGAUGGAGGGGGGUGGUUGAAGGAGGUGGUGAUGCUUGCUGGCGUAUUGGCGAAGACAGAGGGAUGUCGAGAUCGAUUACCAACGUUUGCUCGGAGCGACGGGUUAGCUGCCGAUGGUGCGACGGC